GCGUAAAGCGCGCGUAGGUGGUUCGUUAAGUUGGAUGUGAAGCCCGGGCUCAACCUGGGAACUGCAUCCAAAACUGGCGAGCUAGAGUACGGUAGAGGGUGGUGGAAUUUCCUGUGUAGCGGUGAAAUGCGUAGAUAUWGGAAGGAAYACCAGUGGCGAAGGCGGCCCCCUGGCACGAAGACUGACGCUCAGGUGCGAAAGCGUGGGGAGCAAACAGGAUUAGAUACCCUGGUAGUCCACGCCGUAAACGAUGUCGACUUGGAGGUUGUGCCCUUGAGGCGUGGCUUCCGGAGCUAACGCGUUAAGUCGACCGCCUGGGGAGUACGGCCGCAAGGUUAAAAACUCAAAAUGAAUUGACGGGGGUAGAAAUUCCAGGUGUAGCGGUGAAAAUGCGUAGA
rnacentral:rRNA from 1 species